UACGUAGGGGGCGAGCGUUGUCCGGAAUUAUUGGGCGUAAAGAGCUCGUAGGCGGCUGAGCAAGUCGGGUGGGAAAUCUCCAGGCUCAACCUGGAGCCUUCGCUCGAUACUGCUCUAGCUAGAGUCCGGUAGGCGAGUGGAAUUCCCGGUGUAGCGGUGAAAUGCGCAGAUAUCGGGAGGAACACCUAUGGCGAAGGCAGCUCGCUGGGACGUUACUGACGCUGAGACGCGAAAGCGUGGGGAGCAAACAGG
rnacentral:rRNA from 1 species